GACGAACGCUGGCGGCGUGCUUAACACAUGCAAGUCGAACGGAAAGGCCCUGCUUUUGUGGGGUGCUCGAGUGGCGAACGGGUGAGUAACACGUGAGUAACCUGCCCUUGACUUUGGGAUAACUUCGGGAAACUGGGGCUAAUACCGGAUAGGAGCUCCUGCUGCAUGGUGGGGGUUGGAAAGUUUCGGCGGUUGGGAUGGACUCGCGGCUUAUCAGCUUGUUGGUGGGGUAGUGGCUUACCAAGGCUUUGACGGGUAGCCGGCCUGAGAGGGUGACCGGCCACAUUGGGACUGAGAUACGGCCCAGACUCCUACGGGAGGCAGCAGUGGGGAAUAUUGCACAAUGGGCGGAAGCCUGAUGCAGCAACGCCGCGUGCGGGAUGACGGCCUUCGGGUUGUAAACCGCUUUCGCCUGUGACGAAGCGUGAGUGACGGUAAUGGGUAAAGAAGCACCGGCUAACUACGU
rnacentral:rRNA from 1 species